AUUUUAUACUACCGCUGUUGGUCGUCCAGAAAUCGAGUACUGUUCCGAAAUACGUACGCGGCAGCGGUGUACACUGGGCCAAGUUUAACGAUCGGGAUGACAGAAGUUUGCCGCCGGGGAGCUGUUCCAUGGAUCAGAAUCGGAGCCGCCGUCUGAUCCGUGGAUCGGGAAGUUCGCUUUACCGUCCGGCCGGCCCUGAGUCAAAUUGAAUGCAGGGUCCAGCGUGUUCUUUUGCAAGGCGAGUGGUGGUUUGAAGGCGACGAGUGGGAGAUAGAGAUUCGGAGCGGCGGCGGCGAUCCAUGGAGCUUUUUGUGCAGCCGAUCGGCGGAUCUGCUCUUCUUGAGGGGGUAGGAGAGAGUCUGGUGCCUCCCCCAUGUAGUUGUGAAUGGCGGUGUGGUGGCGGAGCAAGCGUUGCCGGAGCAGCAGAUGGCGGCCGAGAGCGGCGAAGCACAGAUCUUGGCGGCGGCGGAGGCUGCAGCGGCAGAAGGAAAAGCUCCCCUCCAAAGUCCGAGCUCUCGACGGGGAAGAGGAAUCCCCUGGCGCUCGAUGGAAUCAGAGAUGCAAAGUCUGAGGAUUGGUGCUGCUGCACCAAACAUGACACCGUGUCCCGAAUCGAAUCAGUGCGUUCGAGAAGGUUGUAAGAUGUUUUGCAGAGAAGCCUGCUGAAAAUGUUCUUGGCACUACAUUUGACUCCUUGGGCGAGGCUUAUGACUUCUAUAAUCUGUAUUCAUGGGAAAAAUGUUUUGCCAUUCGCUACGGGAAGAGUCAGCCAAAUGUGGAGUGGGUAAAAUGCAUACAGGAAAUAGUCUGUGGCUGCUUGGGUAAAGCUGGUGUGGACUUCUACGGGCAGAAGACAACGGGCGGUAUAUUGCAGAGCAUAGAGAAAAUCAUAACCACUCACUUUCGCCUAAUUUUGCUGACAAAAUCCAUUGGCCAUCACAUAAGCAUAUUGACGUGUACCUGAGAGAUCUCAUAAAGCAACUCAGGCAAAACAAUGUGAAUCUGGGCAAGGUUUAUAGUAUCAUAGGUGGCUUUUUCGGUUCAAUGGAGAAUGUUCCCUUCACCAAAAGGUCAUUGCGAAAUCUGUGUGGGCAGAUAAACAGGGACCAAGCGGAUGAUGAUGUGAGGAAGACAGUGGAAGUUUUUGCAGACAUUGGAGCCAAGGAUCUACAUUUCACAUACCGGGUUCAGGCUGACACUGAGGGCAGGAUCAAGAACCUUAUUUGGGCAACUGGUAGCAGAAGGUUGCAGUACACGUUUUUUUGGAGACAUGAUAACAUUCGACACCACAUACAGGACCAACCUGUAUGAUAUGCCUUUCGGGUUGUUUGUUGGAGUCAACAAUCAUUUCCAGAGUGUGAUAAUGACGGGCGUGCUAGUCCAGGAUGAGACAAAAAAGAGUUUCGACUGGCUAUUCUUGGAGUUCCUCAGAAUGAUGGGUGGAUCUCCACCAGUCACCAUACUCACAGACCAAAAUCGUGCAAUGGAGCUAGCUAUCAAAAGCAUCAUGCCAGACACGACUCAUCGGUGGUGCAAAUGGCAUGUGCUAAAUAAAAAGCAAAGGAGUCGUUGGGAGUUUUGUACACCAAAAAAACGAGUUCGGAGAAGAAUUCCAUAAGGCCUCGUUUGACAUGGAGGGAUUGAGGGGGUUUUCAGAGGAUAGUCCCUAGGAGGGUCAGAAACCCCAUAAAGCCCCGAUGGCCCAUUUGAUACGUGGGGUUUGCACAGCCCACCCCCCUCCGGUCCCUUCCAAUCCUCUUGUACCCAUGCGUUUCAGAACCCUCGUGGAGAGACUCGCGGAAGCCCGGCCUCGAGCGCAGCGGCAGCGCACGGCUCCUCCAUGCUCCGCCUACCAAACGAGUUUUUUUAGGAAGAUGAAUGGAUGUGAGGGGAAUUGGGUGGAGGGGAGGGAUCCACCAAAUCCCCUCAAAUCCCCAUCCCUCUAGAGACUUGAAAACCCUUCUUGUCAAACGAGGCCUAAGGUGGUAAACCACAUGUUGACAGUAGAUGAAUUUGAGAGAGGAUGGGAAAUGUUGCUUGACAAAUACAAGCUAAGAACACAUCCUUACAUGACACAGCUUUUUGAGAUUAGGCAUAAAUGGUAUAAGCCUUUUUUAAGGGUGUGUUUUGUGCGAAGAUGACUAGCACACAAAGGAGUGACAGUGUGAACCAUAUGAGGCUUCAGUUUGACAGGGAGUCUGAGGAGAACUAUGAGGAGAAACGAACUAGGAUUGGGAGACCACUACUGAGAGCGAACCUUGCAGUGGAGAGGCACGCCAGCAAGAUAUACACGAGGGCUAUGUUUGAGCAUUUUGGACACAUUUUGUAUGAGUGCGGGGCUUAUCAGGUUGAAGAGAUUCAAAAACAUAAGACAUACAUCGCGACCUAUAGUGAAGCAGAGAAAAGAGAGAAGUGGUCGAAAAUUUCAUACAAGGUUACAAUGCUUGGGCAAUGAAUUCGACUGCGAGUGUGGGCAAUUUGCACACAUGGGCCUGCUGUGUAGCCAUGUACUGAAGGUGCUCGAUUUCAUUAGGGCUAAAGAAAUACCAGCUAAGCAUAUAGUGAAGAGAUGUACGAGGGAUGCUUGCGACGUUCUGCCACCUCAUUUGAUACAAUACCAAAAGGACAGCAUACAGAACAACCCUUUAUCGUACAGACACCUCACGAUGUACUUGCACGCCAUGGAUCUAGUCAGGCUGGGCGACACUAGCGUUGAAGCCUACAAUCGGUUGCUGUAGUUGUUCAAGUCCAACUUGAUAGUGAUGGUACCCUAUGUAGAAGUUAGGGAUGGUCUUGGCCAGACUGGCGGACAGUGGUGCCGUAAAUCAGAGCCCCAUGGAGAUGGUUGCAGUGGAACAAAACAUGAUCGUUGAUCGUUUCAGACAUUGGAACCAAGGAUCUGCAUUUCACAUACCGGGUUCAGGCUGACACUGAGGGCAGGAUCAAGAACCUUAUGUGGGCAACUGGUAGCAGAAGGUUGCAGUACACGUUUUUUUGGAGACGUGAUAACAUUCGACACCACAUACAGGACCAACCUGUAUGAUAUGCCUUUCGGGUUGUUUGUUGGAGUCAACAAUCAUUUCCAGAGUGUGAUAAUGACGGGCGUGCUAGUCCAGGAUGAGACAAAAAAGAGUUGAAGUGGAACAAAACAUGAUCGUCGAUGGAGGUACUGCUGAUUUAGCGGACAAUGAUUCUGUGUCCAGGACAAGCAACAUGUUGGAAGGACUACUGGCUCCAGCAAAACAGAAAGAUAUGGGACGGCCAACGACAAAUAUGGAGAAGGCUCCAUAUGAAGUUCUAAGCAAGAGGACUAGGUUUUGCACGAUUUGCAGAAAGCAAGGGCAUAAGCGAAGUACAUGCCCUGACCCUGGUGAUGUCCCCAAGCAACCUUGGAAGCCUGCCAAAUGCAAGAACUGUGGCGUCGAGGGGCACCGACGAAAUAAUUAUAAUAAAGCAAUGGAACUAAGGCUGGCACCUGGCAAAUGGAAUGUAGAAGCUGAUGUGGCUCAUGAUGUCUUUCAGUUAUCUUAUUUGCCAUUGAGGCAUAUGAAUGUAGGUAUCAUGUUUUAGCUUCAGUGUGAUCAGACCGUGGUUAGUUUUCAGACAGUGCAUGAGUAAUAUUAUAUACGGAGUAUGUCAGAUUGUGUCACUGCUUUUGUUUCAAAAUGUUGGCUUGUCCCCAGGUUUUGAUGAAUUUGUGUGCAUGCUUUUGACGGUAAAACCUUGGCCUUUUGGUGCAGCGGGAGUGGCUGAAUUGUUCUGAUUCGUUAUCUGAAAACUUGUACACUCCUGAAUAUUGAAAGAGAUGCAGAUGUGUUCUCGUUCGCUAUCUGUUUUCUGGAUUGUAAUCUAAGUUCCGGCCGUCGAUGCUUCACAGCAGGUAAACUGUUUGGCAUGAUGUUUUCGUAUGUAAAAAAAUCCCCCAUGUAAAUGCCCCAUGACGCCGGCGAGCUUGUGUUUGAGCGGAGAAGGAGAUGGAGGCAUCAGGCAGCGGUGUAUUUGCUUCCGUACUCACAUGGCUCACCAGAUAUGCCUUGCCGGCGAUCAUCAACGAGAUUUCAGGGGGGAAGAGCUGUGUGAACCAGGUAGCAGAAAAUGAAUCCGAAGACACUGCAGAUUUGGUGGUGUCCUACGGAUCAUUUGAGAGCUCCUUCUCGAACGUCGCUGGGUUGGUCUCAGAUGAAGAUGAAUCAUAUGAAGAGCAGCCGCGCUUGCAGGCUUACAUGGAGGCGGAUCAUGGUGGUGAAGAAAGGACUGGCGACUACGAUCCAUUUGGAGCCGCAGGGACUGAAGACCUGAAUGCCCUUGUUGGUGAAGAGGAAGAAGAUGGAGACAGAGGGGAACGAAUCUUCGGGAGGAAGGGACGAUGGGUUUGCCACAAUAAAUGCCUCAGUUGGAUGGAUCCCGUUAGAUGACUCACUUCUGAGCCGUGGGACAUGUAGUGCGGUCGCUUCUGAUCCGCCUCGCGGGCGGUGACAACGUUCGCAUUAAAAGCGGUGGUUGAGUGGGCCAAGGGCUCUGAAAAGGCAGCAUAUACUACUUCAUAUACGAUGAGAUAUACCAAAGCUGGUGUGAAUCUAGGUGUGAGCUGACGGCUAAGAUAUAGAGCUCAUCUGAGCUCGAGCUCAGAAUAGUACUUCCGUGUUUUUUUUAG